rnacentral:rRNA from 1 species
CCUACGGGAGGCAGCAGUGAGGAAUUUUCCGCAAUGGACGAAAGUCUGACGGAGCAAUGCCGCGUGAAGGAUGAAGGUCUGUGGAUCGUAAACUUCUUUUCUCAGAGAAGAAAAAAAUGACGGUAUCUGAGGAAUAAGCUCCGGCUAACCCUGUGCCAGCAGCCGCGGUAAU